GACGUGAAAGGCAAGCGUUAUUCGUCAUUAAUGGGUCUAAAGGGUACGUAGGCGGUUUAGUAUCUCUAUUUUUUUUUACACCUAAGAGUGGAAUUAGAUAAUACUAGACUAGAGUUUAAGUGGGUAACAAAUACAUCUAGAGGAGCGUAACAAUGCUGAGAUACUUGAUGGGGUUGCGAAGCGGCGAAAAGCAUGUUACUAUUAAAGAACUGACGCUGAGGUACGAAAGGCUAGGGGAGCAAGAGGG
rnacentral:rRNA from 1 species